UACGGGGGGUGCAAGCGUUACUCGGAAUCACUGGGCGUAAAGGGCGAGUAGGCGGCCUAGCAAGUCUGGUGUGAAAGCCCAGGGCUCAACCCUAGUAGGGCACGAGAAACUGUUAGGCUUGAGUUCCGGAGAGGAGGGGGGAAUUCCCUGUGUAGCGGUGAAAUGCGUAGAUAUCGGGAAGAAUACCGGUGGCGAAGGCGACUCACUGGAAGGAAACUGACGCUGAGGCGCGAAAGCGUGGGGAGCAAACAGG
rnacentral:rRNA from 1 species